AAGUUUUUAAGUUAAACAAACUAAUAGCCUUCAAAGCUAUAAAUGGGAAAUCCCAAAACUUG
rnacentral:tRNA from 1 species